GAGCAAUUCACGCAGAUGGAGGAGUCCGUUACAGCAAUGAAAAAAUGACACAUUUAUGUUGCCUACAUUUGUCCUGUGGAAAUCGCCGAGGAACAUGGGAUACAUCCAGACCUCCUCUUGCUAUGAUCCACUCUGCAGCCCCUGUGAAUCCCCUUGAGUUUUUCCAUGCGGGCUGGUAAAUCCAAGCAGCAUGAGGCUCAGCCACAGCGGGAAGGCCAGCCCCACAUCCCUACGUCUGGUCUGACAGCUACCAGGGACGGCGCCAAGGAGGGACUCGGGGGUGCUGUAGCUACGCCUCUGAUAGCCAUAUCGCCCCCUUAGCAAGCCUAAGUAGUUUAUUUAACAUAUUUAUUUUUAAUGUGUGAAUACUGUCAU